rnacentral:pre_miRNA from 1 species
AUCACCUGGGGAUCAUGUUAAAAUGCAGAUUCUGAUCCAGGAGAUCUAGGUUGGGGUCCAGAGAGUCUGUAUUUCUAGCAAGUUCUGUGGUGAUGCCAA